rnacentral:rRNA from 1 species
UACGUAGGGGGCAAGCGUUGUCCGGAUUUAUUGGGCGUAAAGAGCUCGUAGGUGGUUCGGUAAGUCGGAUGUGAAAUCUCCAGGCUCAACCUGGAGGGGUCAUUCGAUACUGCCGUGACUAGAGGUCGGUAGGGGAGUGUGGAAUUCCUGGUGGAGCGGUGAAAUGCGCAGAUAUCAGGAGGAACCCCCGUAGCGAAGGCGGCACUCUGGGCCGAUACUGACACUGAGGAGCGAAAGCGUGGGGAGCGAACAGG